AUGCCGGGAAUCCCGCGGGAAACCCAGGGGGAAACCACGGGAAUCCCCCGGGAAACCCAGGGGGAAACCACGGGAAUCCCACGGGAAUUCCAGGGGGAAACCACGGGAAUCCCAGGGGGAAACCACGGGAAUCCUGCAGGAAACACAUGGGAAUUCCAGGAAACCCCUGGGAAAUCCCGGGAAUCCCCCGGGAAUUCCAGGGGGAAAGCACGGGAAUCCUGCGGGAAUCCCAUGGGAAUUAUGGGAAUCCCCUGGGAAACCACGGGAAUCCCCCGGGAAUCCCCUGGGAAUUCCGGGAAUCCCCCAGCACCCUCAGAAAUCCCUGGGAAUACCGGGAAUCCCACAGGAAUUCCAUGGGAAACCCCUGGGAAUUCCGGGAAUCCCUCGGGAAUUCCAUGGGAAACCCCUGGGGAAUUCCAGGAAUCCCCUGGGAACCCCUCAGCACCAUCAGGAAUUCUGGGAAUCUCCCGGGAAUCCCUCAGCACCCCCGGGAAUCCCGGGAAUUUUCCGGGAAUCCCUCAGCACCCCCGGGAAUCCCCCGGGAAUCCUGGGAAUCCCUCAGCAUUCCCGGGAAUCCCUCAGCAUUCCCGGGAAUCCCCUCUCCGCCUCCCAGUCCCGCUGGAAUCCGCCCCAGAAUCCACCUGGAGCGUCCCGGGGAGCCCUGCCCGCCCCAGCAGGGAUGAGCCCAUCCGGGAAUUCCCGGGAAUUCCCAGGGAUUCCCCCGGGGUUCCCCCGGCGAAUUUCCCCCCAAAUUCCCGCCGGGAUCCCGGGGCAGCGGGAAGCGAUCCCGGAAUUCCCGGAUCCCCCAAUAAAAUCAGAUCUGGGAAGAAAAGAGCCUCGGAAUUUUGGGAAUUUUGGGGAUUUUGGGGAUUUUUUUUAGGGGAGGAUCCGGCGGGAUUUGAGGGCUCCGGGAAUGACCCAAACACCCAAAAAAAAUAAAAACAAAAUCAGUGGGAAAAGAAGGGAUUUAUUCAGGGGGGAUCCCAAAAACUCCGGAUCCCGGGAGGGUUCAGGGCGGAUCCCGGAUCCUGGGAGGGUUCAGGGUGGAUCCCAGAUCCCGGGAGGAUCCCGGGAGGAGCAGGGGUUGAUCCUGGGCGGAUCCCAAAACUCCGGAUCCUGGGAGGAGCAGGGGUUGGUUCAGGGUGGAUCCCGGAUCCAGGGAGGAUCCCAGAUCCCAGGAGGAUCCCGGGAGGAGCAGGGGUUGAUCCAGGGAGGAUCCCAAAACCCCCAGAUCCUGGGAGGAGCAGGGGCUGGUUCAGGGAGGAUCCCGGAUCCAGGGAGGAUCCAGGGUGGAUCCCAGAUCCCAGGAGGAUCCCGGGAGGAGCAGGGGUUGAUCCAGGGAGGAUCCAGGGUGGAUCCCAGAUCCCAGGAGGAUCCCAGGAGGGUCCCGGGAGGAGCAGGGGCUGGUUCAGGGAGGAUCCCGGAUCCAGGGAGGAUCCA
rnacentral:lncRNA from 1 species